AAUAUUAGACCAUGGGGGCAACCCUGAUCCAGCCAUGCCGCCUUUGUGAAGAAGGUUUUCGGAUUGUAAAGCACUUUCAGUUGGGAGGAAGGGCAUUAGGUUAAUACUCUGAAGUGUUGGAAUUACCAACAGAAUAAGCACCGGCUGAGUCUGUACCAGCAGCCGCGGAAAUACAGAGGGUGCAAGCGUGAAUUGGAAUUACUGGGCGUAAAGCGCGCGUUGGUGGUUUAUUAAGAUGGGUUGGAAAUCCACGGGCUUAACCUGGGAACUGCUUUCAUAACUGCUGAGCUAGAGUACGGUAGAGGGUAGUGUAAUUUCCUGUGUAGCGGUGAAAUGCGUAGAUAUAGGAAGGAACACCAGUGGCGAAGGCGACUACCUGGACUGAUAAUGACACUGAGGUGCGAAAGCGUGGGGAGCAAAC
rnacentral:rRNA from 1 species